rnacentral:rRNA from 1 species
CCUACGGGUGGCUGCAGUGGGGAAUAUUGGGCAAUGGGCGCAAGCCUGACCCAGCAACGCCGCGUGAAGGAAGAAGGCUUUCGGGUUGUAAACUUCUUUUCUCAGGGACGAAAAAAGCGACGGUACCUGAGGAAUAAGCCACGGCUAACUACGCGCCAGCAGCAGCGGUAAUACGUAGGCGGCAAGCGUCAUGCGGAUUUACUGGGUGUAAAGGGCGGGUAGGCGGGGAAGCAAGUCAGAUGUGAAAACCACGGGCUCAACCUGUGGCCUGCAUUUGAAACUGUGUAUCUUGAGUGCUGGAGAGGCAGGCGGAAUUCCUGGUGUAGCGGUGAAAUGCGUAGAUAUUAGGAGGAACACCAGUGGCGAAGGCGGUAUACUGGACAGCAACUGACGCUGAGGCGCGAAAGCGUGGGGAGCAAACAGGAUUAGAUACCCCAGUAGUC